CAGUGCGUGGCGUAACUUGGUAGCGUACCUGUUUUGGGUACAGGCGGUAUAGGUUCAAAUCCUGUCGCAUUGA
rnacentral:tRNA from 1 species